rnacentral:lncRNA from 1 species
AUAGAGGCAUAGAAAGAGAGAAUUAGAGGUGUAGAAAAUAUAAGAAUAUGAAGAGAGAAUGGAAUAAUAUGAACUCCACUAUAUUUGUAGCAUGGAAUAGAAAAGAGAAAAUACAAAAAAUAUAUUUUUCUAUUGGUAGUGGCUUGGAUUAGAGAGUAAUAGUGAGAAUAAGAUAGAAAGUUGGAAUGGAAAUAAAAAUGUGAAGAUAAGUAGAGAGGCAAGUAGAAAGUAGGUGGUGUAUGGCAAUUACAUGAUAAACAAAAUAUUGAUAACUUUUGAUGACCAUAGAUAUUUUAUGGUAUUUGAAAUAGAAAAUUAGGAU